GUGGGGAAUAUUGGACAAUGGGCGAAAGCCUGAUCCAGCCAUGCCGCGUGUGUGAAGAAGGUCUUCGGAUUGUAAAGCACUUUAAGUUGGGAGGAAGGGCAGUAAGUUAAUACCUUGCUGUUUUGACGUUACCGACAGAAUAAGCACCGGCUAACUUCGUGCCAGCAGCCGCGGUAAUACGAAGGGUGCAAGCGUUAAUCGGAAUUACUGGGCGUAAAGCGCGCGUAGGUGUUUUUGUAAGUUGGAGGUGAAAUCCCCGGGCUCAACCUGGGAACUGCCUCCAAAACUGCAUUACUAGAGUACGGUAGAGGGUAGUGGAAUUUCCUGUGUAGCGGUGAAAUGCGUAGAUAUAGGAAGGAACACCAGGGGCGAAGGCGACUACCUGGACUGAUACUGACACUGAGGUGCGAAAGCGUGGGGAGCAAACAGGAUUAGAAACCCGAGUAGUCC
rnacentral:rRNA from 1 species